rnacentral:antisense_RNA from 1 species
UGUUAUGACGGGCUAGGCAAGGGAGCCGAAAGGCUCGCCAGUGUUCUAGCUGGUAAGACCAACCUUGUCUAGCCUGUCACCACC